rnacentral:rRNA from 1 species
UUAAGCGACUAAGCGUACACGGUGGAUGCCCUGGCAGUCAGAGGCGAUGAAGGACGUGCUAAUCUGCGAUAAGCGUCGGUAAGGUGAUAUGAACCGUUAUAACCGGCGAUUUCCGAAUGGGGAAACCCAGUGUGAUUCGUCACACUAUCAUUAACUGAAUCCAUAGGUUAAUGAGGCGAACCGGGGGAACUGAAACAUCUAAGUACCCCGAGGAAAAGAAAUCAACCGAGAUUCCCCCAGUAGCGGCGAGCGAACGGGGAGCAGCCCAGAGCCUGAAUCAGUGUGUGUGUUAGUGGAAGCGUCUGGAAAGGCGUGCGAUACAGGGUGACAGCCCCGUACACAAAAAUGCACAUACUGUGAGCUCGAUGAGUAGGGCGGGACACGUGGUAUCCUGUCUGAAUAUGGGGGACCAUCCUCCAAGGCUAAAUACUCCUGACUGACCGAUAGUGAACCAGUACCGUGAGGGAAAGGCGAAAAGAACCCCGGCGAGGGGAGUGAAAAAGAACCUGAAACCGUGUACGUACAAGCAGUGGGAGCACGCUUAGGCGUGUGACUGCGUACCUUUUGUAUAAUGGGUCAGCGACUUAUAUUCUGUAGCAAGGUUAACCGAAUAGGGGAGCCGAAGGGAAACCGAGUCUUAACUGGGCGUUAAGUUGCAGGGUAUAGACCCGAAACCCGGUGAUCUAGCCAUGGGCAGGUUGAAGGUUGGGUAACACUAACUGGAGGACCGAACCGACUAAUGUUGAAAAAUUAGCGGAUGACUUGUGGCUGGGGGUGAAAGGCCAAUCAAACCGGGAGAUAGCUGGUUCUCCCCGAAAGCUAUUUAGGUAGCGCCUCGUGAAUUCAUCUCCGGGGGUAGAGCACUGUUUCGGCAAGGGGGUCAUCCCGACUUACCAACCCGAUGCAAACUGCGAAUACCGGAGAAUGUUAUCACGGGAGACACACGGCGGGUGCUAACGUCCGUCGUGAAGAGGGAAACAACCCAGACCGCCAGCUAAGGUCCCAAAGUCAUGGUUAAGUGGGAAACGAUGUGGGAAGGCCCAGACAGCCAGGAUGUUGGCUUAGAAGCAGCCAUCAUUUAAAGAAAGCGUAAUAGCUCACUGGUCGAGUCGGCCUGCGCGGAAGAUGUAACGGGGCUAAACCAUGCACCGAAGCUGCGGCAGCGACGCUUAUGCGUUGUUGGGUAGGGGAGCGUUCUGUAAGCCUGUGAAGGUGUGCUGUGAGGUAUGCUGGAGGUAUCAGAAGUGCGAAUGCUGACAUAAGUAACGAUAAAGCGGGUGAAAAGCCCGCUCGCCGGAAGACCAAGGGUUCCUGUCCAACGUUAAUCGGGGCAGGGUGAGUCGACCCCUAAGGCGAGGCCGAAAGGCGUAGUCGAUGGGAAACAGGUUAAUAUUCCUGUACUUGGUGUUACUGCGAAGGGGGGACGGAGAAGGCUAUGUUGGCCGGGCGACGGUUGUCCCGGUUUAAGCGUGUAGGCUGGUUUUCCAGGCAAAUCCGGAAAAUCAAGGCCGAGGCGUGAUGACGAGGCACUACGGUGCUGAAGCAACAAAUGCCCUGCUUCCAGGAAAAGCCUCUAAGCAUCAGGUAACAUCAAAUCGUACCCCAAACCGACACAGGUGGUCAGGUAGAGAAUACCAAGGCGCUUGAGAGAACUCGGGUGAAGGAACUAGGCAAAAUGGUGCCGUAACUUCGGGAGAAGGCACGCUGAUACGUAGGUGAAGCGACUUGCUCGUGGAGCUGAAAUCAGUCGAAGAUACCAGCUGGCUGCAACUGUUUAUUAAAAACACAGCACUGUGCAAACACGAAAGUGGACGUAUACGGUGUGACGCCUGCCCGGUGCCGGAAGGUUAAUUGAUGGGGUUAGCGCAAGCGAAGCUCUUGAUCGAAGCCCCGGUAAACGGCGGCCGUAACUAUAACGGUCCUAAGGUAGCGAAAUUCCUUGUCGGGUAAGUUCCGACCUGCACGAAUGGCGUAAUGAUGGCCAGGCUGUCUCCACCCGAGACUCAGUGAAAUUGAACUCGCUGUGAAGAUGCAGUGUACCCGCGGCAAGACGGAAAGACCCCGUGAACCUUUACUAUAGCUUGACACUGAACAUUGAGCCUUGAUGUGUAGGAUAGGUGGGAGGCUUUGAAGUGUGGACGCCAGUCUGCAUGGAGCCGACCUUGAAAUACCACCCUUUAAUGUUUGAUGUUCUAACGUGGACCCGUGAUCCGGGUUGCGGACAGUGUCUGGUGGGUAGUUUGACUGGGGCGGUCUCCUCCUAAAGAGUAACGGAGGAGCACGAAGGUUGGCUAAUCCUGGUCGGACAUCAGGAGGUUAGUGCAAUGGCAUAAGCCAGCUUGACUGCGAGCGUGACGGCGCGAGCAGGUGCGAAAGCAGGUCAUAGUGAUCCGGUGGUUCUGAAUGGAAGGGCCAUCGCUCAACGGAUAAAAGGUACUCCGGGGAUAACAGGCUGAUACCGCCCAAGAGUUCAUAUCGACGGCGGUGUUUGGCACCUCGAUGUCGGCUCAUCACAUCCUGGGGCUGAAGUAGGUCCCAAGGGUAUGGCUGUUCGCCAUUUAAAGUGGUACGCGAGCUGGGUUUAGAACGUCGUGAGACAGUUCGGUCCCUAUCUGCCGUGGGCGCUGGAGAACUGAGGGGGGCUGCUCCUAGUACGAGAGGACCGGAGUGGACGCAUCACUGGUGUUCGGGUUGUCAUGCCAAUGGCACUGCCCGGUAGCUAAAUGCGGAAGAGAUAAGUGCUGAAAGCAUCUAAGCACGAAACUUGCCCCGAGAUGAGUUCUCCCUGACCCUUUAAGGGUCCUGAAGGAACGUUGAAGACGACGACGUUGAUAGGCCGGGUGUGUAAGCGCAGCGAUGCGUUGAGCUAACCGGUACUAAUGAACCGUGAGGCUUAACCUU